rnacentral:rRNA from 1 species
AUUAGGAAUCUUGCGCAAUGGGCGAAAGCCUGACGCAGCGACGUCGCGUGAAGGAUGAAAUCUUUCGGGAUGUAAACUUCUUUUUCUGAGGAAGAAACAAAUGACGGUACUCAGAGAAUAAGCCCCGGCUAACUACGUGCCAGCAGCCGCGGUAAUACGUAGGGGGCGAGCGUUGUCCGAAGUUACUGGGCGUAAAGAGCGCGUAGGCGGGUUUUUAAGUGAGGGGUGAAAGGUUCAGGCUCAACCUGGACACUGCCUUUCAUACUGGAGACCUUGAGUGCGGGAGAGGCGAGUGGAAUGGUCGGUGUAGCGGUGAAAUGCGUAGAUAUCGAUCGGAACACCCAUGGCGAAGGCAGCUCGCUGGCCUGUAACUGACGCUGAGGCGCGAAAGCGUGGGGAGCAAACAG